UACGAAGGGGGCUAGCGUUGUUCGGAUUUACUGGGCGUAAAGCGCGUGUAGGCGGGUCGUUAAGUUGGGGGUGAAAUCCCGAGGCUCAACCUCGGAACUGCCUUCAAAACUGGCGACCUGGAGCAAGAUAGAGGCAAGUGGAAUUGCGAGUGUAGAGGUGAAAUUCGUAGAUAUUCGCAGGAACACCAGUGGCGAAGGCGACUUGCUGGAUCUUUGCUGACGCUGAGGUGACGAAAGC
rnacentral:rRNA from 1 species